GGUUAAGCGACUAAGCGUACACGGUGGAUGCCCUGGCAGUCAGAGGCGAUGAAGGACGUGCUAAUCUGCGAAAAGCGUCGGUAAGGUGAUAUGAACCGUUACAGCCGGCGAUGUCCGAAUGGGGAAACCCAGUGCAAUUCGUUGCACUAUCAUGUCAUGAAUACAUAGUGGCA
rnacentral:rRNA from 1 species